UACAGAGGUGGCAAGCGUUGUUCGGAAUUACUGGGCGUAGAGGGCGCGUAGGCGGCUUGGUCAGUCCCGUGUGAAAUCCCUCGGCUCAACUGAGGAACUGCACGGGAAACUGCCUGGCUUGAGUUCGGGAGAGGGAAGCGGAAUUCCGGGUGUAGCGGUGAAAUGCGUAGAUAUCCGGAGGAACACCGGUGGCGAAGGCGGCUUCCUGGACCGACACUGACGCUGAGGCGCGAAAGCUAGGGGAGCAAACGGG
rnacentral:rRNA from 1 species